CCUACGGGGGGCUGCAGUGGGGAAUAUUGGACAAUGGGGGGAACCCUGAUCCAGCCAUGCCGCGUGUGUGAAGAAGGCCCUCGGGUUGUAAAGCACUUUCAGUGAGGAAGAACGCCUGGUGGUUAAUACCCAUCAGGAAAGACAUCACUCACAGAAGAAGCGCCGGCUAACUCCGUGCCAGCAGCCGCGGUAAUACGGAGGGUGCGAGCGUUAAUCGGAAUUACUGGGCGUAAAGCGCGCGUAGGUGGCUUGAUAAGCCGGUUGUGAAAGCCCCGGGCUCAACCCGGGAACGGCAUCCGGAACUGGCAAGCUAGAGUGCAGGAGAGGAAAGUAGAAUUCCCGGUGUAGCGGUGAAAUGCGUAGAGAUCGGGAGGAAGACCAGUGGCGAAGGCGGCCUUCUGGACUAACACUGACGCUGAGGUGCGAAAGCGUGGGUAGCAAACAGGAUUAGAUACCCUAGUAGUC
rnacentral:rRNA from 1 species